rnacentral:rRNA from 1 species
GGGUUGUGAGGUUAAGCGACUAAGCGUACACGGUGGAUGCCCUGGCAGUCAGAGGCGAUGAAGGACGUGCUAAUCUGCGAAAAGCGCCGGCGAGGUGAUAUGAACCCUUGACCCGGCGAUGUCCGAAUGGGGAAACCCAGUGUGAUUCGUCACACUAUCGUUAGCUGAAUACAUAGGUUAACGAGGCGAACCGGGGGAACUGAAACAUCUAAGUACCCCGAGGAAAAGAAAUCAACCGAGAUUCCCCCAGUAGCGGCGAGCGAACGGGGAGCAGCCCGGAGUCUGAAUCAGCUUGUGUGUUAGUGGAAGCGUCUGGAAAGUCGCAGGGUACAGGGUGAUACUCCCGUACACGAAAGCACACUUGCUGUGAACUCGAAGAGUAGGGCGGGACACGUGGUAUCCUGUCUGAAUAUGGGGGGACCAUCCUCCAAGGCUAAAUACUCCUGACUGACCGAUAGUGAACCAGUACCGUGAGGGAAAGGCGAAAAGAACCCCGGCGAGGGGAGUGAAAAAGAACCUGAAACCGUGUACGUACAAGCAGUGGGAGCACCUUCGGGUGUGACUGCGUACCUUUUGUAUAAUGGGUCAGCGACUUAUAUUCUGUAGCAAGGUUAACCGUAUAGGGGAGCCGAAGGGAAACCGAGUCUUAACUGGGCGUUAAGUUGCAGGGUAUAGACCCGAAACCCGGUGAUCUAGCCAUGGGCAGGUUGAAGGUUGGGUAACACUAACUGGAGGACCGAACCGACUAAUGUUGAAAAAUUAGCGGAUGACCUGUGGCUGGGGGUGAAAGGCCAAUCAAACCGGGAGAUAGCUGGUUCUCCCCGAAAGCUAUUUAGGUAGCGCCUCGUGAAUUCAUCUCCGGGGGUAGAGCACUGUUUCGGCUAGGGGGCCAUCCCGGCUUACCAACCCGAUGCAAACUGCGAAUACCGGAGAAUGUUAUCACGGGAGACACACGGCGGGUGCUAACGUCCGUCGUGAAGAGGGAAACAACCCAGACCGCCAGCUAAGGUCCCAAAGUCAUGGUUAAGUGGGAAACGAUGUGGGAAGGCACAGACAGCCAGGAUGUUGGCUUAGAAGCAGCCAUCAUUUAAAGAAAGCGUAAUAGCUCACUGGUCGAGUCGGCCUGCGCGGAAGAUGUAACGGGGCUAAACCAUGCACCGAAGCUGCGGCAGCGACACUAUGUGUUGUUGGGUAGGGGAGCGUUCUGUAAGCCUGCGAAGGUGUGCCGUGAGGCAUGCUGGAGGUAUCAGAAGUGCGAAUGCUGACAUAAGUAACGAUAAAGCGGGUGAAAAGCCCGCUCGCCGGAAGACCAAGGGUUCCUGUCCAACGUUAAUCGGGGCAGGGUGAGUCGACCCCUAAGGCGAGGCCGAAAGGCGUAGUCGAUGGGAAACAGGUUAAUAUUCCUGUACUCGGUGUUACUGCGAAGGGGGGACGGAGAAGGCUAUGUUGGCCGGGCGACGGUUGUCCCGGUUUAAGCAUGUAGGCGGAGGUUCCAGGUAAAUCCGGUACCUUUUAACGCUGAGGUGUGAUGACGAGGCACUACGGUGCUGAAGCAACAAAUGCCCUGCUUCCAGGAAAAGCCUCUAAGCAUCAGGUAACAUCAAAUCGUACCCCAAACCGACACAGGUGGUCAGGUAGAGAAUACCAAGGCGCUUGAGAGAACUCGGGUGAAGGAACUAGGCAAAAUGGUGCCGUAACUUCGGGAGAAGGCACGCUGAUAUGUAGGUGAAGCCCCUGCGGGUGGAGCUGAAAUCAGUCGAAGAUACCAGCUGGCUGCAACUGUUUAUUAAAAACACAGCACUGUGCAAACACGAAAGUGGACGUAUACGGUGUGACGCCUGCCCGGUGCCGGAAGGUUAAUUGAUGGGGUUAGCGGUAACGCGAAGCUCUUGAUCGAAGCCCCGGUAAACGGCGGCCGUAACUAUAACGGUCCUAAGGUAGCGAAAUUCCUUGUCGGGUAAGUUCCGACCUGCACGAAUGGCGUAAUGAUGGCCAGGCUGUCUCCACCCGAGACUCAGUGAAAUUGAAAUCGCUGUGAAGAUGCAGUGUACCCGCGGCAAGACGGAAAGACCCCGUGAACCUUUACUAUAGCUUGACACUGAACACUGGUCCUUGAUGUGUAGGAUAGGUGGGAGGCUUUGAAGUGUGGACGCCAGUCUGCAUGGAGCCGUCCUUGAAAUACCACCCUUUAAUGGCUGGUGUUCUAACGUGGACCCGUAAUCCGGGUUGCGGACAGUGUCUGGUGGGUAGUUUGACUGGGGCGGUCUCCUCCUAAAGAGUAACGGAGGAGCACGAAGGUCAGCUAAUCCUGGUCGGACAUCAGGAGGUUAGUGCAAUGGCAUAAGCUGGCUUGACUGCGAGAGUGACGGCUCGAGCAGGUGCGAAAGCAGGUCAUAGUGAUCCGGUGGUUCUGUAUGGAAGGGCCAUCGCUCAACGGAUAAAAGGUACUCCGGGGAUAACAGGCUGAUACCGCCCAAGAGUUCAUAUCGACGGCGGUGUUUGGCACCUCGAUGUCGGCUCAUCACAUCCUGGGGCUGAAGUAGGUCCCAAGGGUAUGGCUGUUCGCCAUUUAAAGUGGUACGCGAGCUGGGUUUAGAACGUCGUGAGACAGUUCGGUCCCUAUCUGCCGUGGGCGCUGGAGAAUUGAGGGGGCUGCUCCUAGUACGAGAGGACCGGAGUGGACGCAUCACUGGUGUUCGGGUUGUCAUGCCAAUGGCACUGCCCGGUAGCUAAAUGCGGAAGAGAUAAGUGCUGAAAGCAUCUAAGCACGAAACUUGCCCCGAGAUGAGUUCUCCCUGACUCCUUGAGAGUCCUGAAGGAACGUUGAAGACGACGACGUUGAUAGGCCGGGUGUGUAAGCGCAGCGAUGCGUUGAGCUAACCGGUACUAAUGAACCGUGAGGCUUAACCUUACAACGCCGAAGCUGUU